rnacentral:lncRNA from 1 species
AGGGACCUAUAGGGAUUUAUAGGGACCUAUAGAGAUCUGUAGAAAACAUAGAGACUCGUAGGAGCCAUAGAAACUUAUGGAAGAUGUAAGGACCCAUGUAAACAGACCCAUAGGAACCCAUAGGAGACACACAGAUCCACAAAGCUCCAUUAAAACAUAAAGAAAGACACAGGGACCCAUAGGGAACUACAGAAAUCUAUAGGAGACACAGGGAUCCCGGGGACCCAUAGGAACCCAUCGGAGACAAAGGGACCCAUAUAGGGCAGAUGGGGCCAUAUAGGGCAGAUGGGGCCAUAUAGGGCAGUUAGGGGCCCAUAUAGGGCAGAUGGGGCCAUAUAGGGCAGUUAGGGGGCCCACAUUGGGCACCUAGAGGCCCAUAUGGGACACUUAGGGAGCCCAUGGAGCUGCUUUAGGGCCGAGGGAAUCCCUCGGGGCGCACUCCCUCAUCCCAAACCCCCUCAGAACCACCACGAGGAGCUGCCCCUCCCCAUUCCUCCCACUCACCGCUACGGGGCGAAGUGGAGCACGGGGAAUGGAUCCCUCUACCACCACGGGGCGGCUAUGGGGCGGCUAUGGGGCGGCUAUGGGGCGCGCACCGCGCGCUGGGCCCAGGCUCAGCUCUCCACAGCGAAGGGCGUGGCCGCGCCGCCUUCCCGCCCUCCGCGCUCUCAGCCAAUCAGCGCCCGCCUCCCUUCGCGCCCGACGCCGCCGCCACGCGCACGGCCGUUAGCCCCGCCCCCGCCCUCCCGGCGCGCGUGCGCGUGCGCGGCCAUGACGUCACAUCCGCCUCAGCCCUCCUCUCGCAGCCAAUCGGAGCGCGGCUACGGCGCGCGGGCCAAGGGCCGGGGUCAAGGGUCAGAGCUCAGCCAAGAUGGCGGCGGCGGCGCCGGGGCGGCGGCGGCCGGUGCUGCUGCUGCUGCUCGGAGCCGUUUAUCUCGGGCUCAGCGCGGCCGUGGAUCGGAGCAACUUCAAAACGUGCGAGCAAAGCAGUUUCUGCAGGCGGCAGCGCAGUUUCCAACCCGGCCGCUCUCCGUACCGAGCGCUGUUGGAUUCGUUGCAGCUCAGCCCCGAAUCCGUCACGGUGCAGGUGGUCAAUGAGGCCACCAAGGUCCCGUUGCAGUUGGAGCUGCAGGCUCUGCACUCCAACAUCACCCGCCUGCGGCUCCGGGAGCUGCGCCCGCUGCGCCCGCGCUACGAGGUGCCCGACGUGCUGGUGGGAGACCUCCCCCAUCCCGAGCCGCUGUCGGUGUCAGGCCGUGACGAGGGCAGCGUGGAGCUGUCGUGGGGGGGUCCGGGGGGUCCUGGGGGUCUCCGGCUGCUGCUGACGGCGCAGCCUUUCCGCCUGGAUGUUCUGCAGGGCUCUGAGCCCCUCUGCAGCGCCAACGCCCGCGGGCUGCUGCUCUUUGAGCACCUCCGACAGCGGCCCGGGCAGCAGCAAGGGUGAGUCUGACCCCCCCUUACGUAAAACACCCCCUAAGCACGUGGGAAUGGGCCUGAAGUGUCCCUAAGUGCCCUGAAAAGCACCCAGAAUGGCCUUAAGUAACCUGAAAUGUGGCCAAAAUGUCUCUAAAUGUCCCCAAAUACCCCCAAUAUGCCCAAGUGUUUUGAGAACCCUCCCCAAAAUACGCCCCCAGACACCCCCAAACACCCCCAAAUAUGCCUACAUGUUCUGAGAGUGAAUCUGACCCCCCUGUUAACAUAAAACACCCCCUAAGAACACAGGAAUGGCCCUGAAACGUCCCUAAAUGCCCUGAGAAGCACCCAGAAUGGCCUUAAAUGACC